AUUGAACGCUGGCGGCAGGCCUAACACAUGCAAGUCGAGCGGAUGAAGGGAGCUUGCUCCUGGAUUCAGCGGCGGACGGGUGAGUAAUGCCUAGGAAUCUGCCUGGUAGUGGGGGAUAACGUCCGGAAACGGGCGCUAAUACCGCAUACGUCCUGAGGGAGAAAGUGGGGGAUCUUCGGACCUCACGCUAUCAGAUGAGCCUAGGUCGGAUUAGCUAGUUGGUGGGGUAAAGGCCUACCAAGGCGACGAUCCGUAACUGGUCUGAGAGGGUGAUCAGUCACACUGGAACUGAGACACGGUCCAGGCUCCUACGGGAGGCAGCAGUGGGGAAUAUUGGACAAUGGGCGAAAGCCUGAUCCAGCCAUGCCGCGUGUGUGAAGAAGGUCUUCGGAUUGUAAAGCACUUUAAGUUGGGAGGAAGGGCAGUAAGUUAAUACCUUGCUGUUUUGACGUUACCAACAGAAUAAGCACCGGCUAACUUCGUG
rnacentral:rRNA from 1 species